GACGAACGCUGGCGGCGUGCUUAACACAUGCAAGUCGAACGGAAAGGCCCUGCUUUUGUGGGGUGCUCGAGUGGCGAACGGGUGAGUAACACGUGAGUAACCUGCCCUUGACUUUGGGAUAACUUCAGGAAACUGGGGCUAAUACCGGAUAGGAGCUCCUGCUGCAUGGUGGGGGUUGGAAAGUUUCGGCGGUUGGGGAUGGACUCGCGGCUUAUCAGCUUGUUGGUGGGGUAGUGGCUUACCAAGGCUUUGACGGGUAGCCGGCCUGAGAGGGUGACCGGCCACAUUGGGACUGAGCUACGGACCAGAAUCCUACGGGAGGCAGCAGUGGGGAAUAUUGCACAAUGGGCGGAAGCCUGAUGCAGCGACGCCGCGUGCGGGAUGACGGCCUUCGGGUUGUAAACCGCUUUCGCCUGUGACGAAGCGUGAGUGACGGUAAUGGGUAAAGAAGCACCGGCUAACUACGUG
rnacentral:rRNA from 1 species